rnacentral:lncRNA from 1 species
UAUCACGUGAAAGUUUUAUUCUCAAGGGCUUCAGACACAUGCAGACCGAGUAAGCUCAGAUGUCCAGCCCCAUAAGAGAGUGACACCAUUUGUUACUUUGCUCAAGUUACUAAAUUGUAAAUAGAAGAAUCAACUCAUACUACCUUAAAUAAGGAAAGGGACAGAGAAAAGCACACAGGGGGCCAGAGCUGCAACGUGAAAAGCCGCCCAGGGUGGAACAAGGUGUAACAAUGCCGCUCUUGCUGUAGUUUGCCUCCAGCGUGGUACCCUUCACAAAUGCUGUGAUUUCUCCAUGGAGAUACUCGACACUGAAUAAAACAGCCACCACCUCAGCCUCACGCCACUGUCAGACACCACCAGUGCCGUCACAAGAGCAGCGGCUCCUUGGCUAACCUGCAUCUGUCCGUGCCGUUCCCUCCGCUGCGCUGAUGAAACCUCCUCACGGAUGAGCUCCUCCUUGUUGGAAGCAAGCCUGGGAAACGUCUGCUGAGUGAGAUACUUUGCAUGACGGCUUUUUUAGAGUUCCAGUUCUGCCACACUCAGUUAAUCCUCAAGUAGAGCCCUGUGUUCUCUCCGUGCUGGGUCCAUAUCACGCAGCUGUUUUUCUGAUGUCGUACAUCAGUGUAAACAAGGAUGAAGAGAGUUGGCCGUGUUUGUCUCUGAUUUUGUUUCAUCUCAGGAAAGUAGGUCCUAUUGAAUUUUUCUGACUGAAGCUUAACAUGUUUCUUAUAUCUCAGGUCAUUUUAUUUCUCCUUUGGCUGUUAAGAGCUUCAGUAGAAUCUAUCACAGCCAUUCACUUUCCUAUCUGAAUUCAGAACCGAAGAGGAGGAGCCAGGUCAGGAGCCUGGUAAAAGACGGAUGGAAGAAUGCGCUUUUAGAUCUGCAGCCAUGACGGACCUCGGUGCUGAAACCCCGAAUGAGAUGGUCAGAACAGCGGCCCACGUCAGAGGACGGAAGAUAGCACUGCACGCUGGAUGAUGGUGGAAAUGGCCCCGGAGACACUGAAAAGCUGAUGGCUCCUACUUUUCCAUUUUCUUUGGUUUGGACUUUCGAGACUUGAUGCAUAAGGAGUGAUAUGUUUGAAGUAAUUUGAGUUUUUAAAAAUAUCAAACACAGUUUCCUAUGGUGUUUAUUUUAUUUAUGUUUACUUACCUCAAUAAAGUAUGAACAUCUCAGGAUGAGUGCUUGUGUUUCAGAUGUCCCAUAAUUGUACAUUUACUCAAAAAUUUUAGGAGUCAGAUUUACCAUUUUCU